CCAGCAUACAGGUGAUGUGACUCUUCUUCCAGAGUCCUGCCUACAAGGAGGAAUGUGGCAUUUCACUGGAACAGCACCCACUCAGCUGAUGUGACUUUCCUUUCUUCUCUCUGCCUACAGGAAUUAAAAUUGACCUGCAAGACGUCUUUACUUCAUGGAGAUCUGUAGAAGCUGAAGUCCAAAAUGUGACGAUGAAGCUCGGCAAUUACAAAAUCUAUAGAUAAAGAAAGACUGCCAAGGAAGAGUAAGAUAUUCAUUGACACAAAUGCUGUUGUAUGAACCAUGUCCCAAUGAAAGUAGACAACUGUAAUGUCCUUGAGAAUAUUUUCUGCAAUAUUUGUGGCAAAUUCAGUGGGCAUAAAAUUGAGUUUUUU
rnacentral:lncRNA from 10 species